GGAAGUAAAAGUCGUAGCAAGGUUUCCGUAGGUGAACCUGCGGAAGGAUCAUUACCGAGUGAGGGUCUCUCAGGCCCGACCUCCCACCCUGUGUUUUUGUGACCUUGUUGCUUUGGCGGGCCCGCCUCGAUGAGAGGCCGCCGGAAGCUCACCGCUUUGGGCCCGUGCCCGCCAGUAGCCCCCUUAAAUUCUUAAUAAACCUGUCGUCUGAGUUAAUGGAUAUAAUGAAAAAAACUUUCAACAACGGAUCUCUUGGUUCUG
rnacentral:misc_RNA from 1 species